rnacentral:rRNA from 1 species
UACGGAGGGUGCGAGCGUUAAUCGGAAUUACUGGGCGUAAAGCGCGCGUAGGCGGUUUGUUAAGUCGGAUGUGAAAGCCCCGGGCUCAACCUGGGAACUGCACCCGAUACUGGCCGACUUGAGUGCGAGAGAGGGAGGUAGAAUUCCAUGUGUAGCGGUGAAAUGCGUAGAUAUAUGGAGGAAUACCGGUGGCGAAGGCGGCCUCCUGGCUCGACACUGACGCUGAGGUGCGAAAGCGUGGGUAGCCAAACAGG